AUUGAACGCUGGCGGCAGGCUUAACACAUGCCAGUCGAGCGGAGCGGCGGACGGGUUAGUAUUGCCUAGGAAUCUGCCUGGUAGUGGGGGAUAACGUCCGGAACCGGGCGCUACUACCGCAUCCUCGCAGAUGAGCCUAGGUCGGAUUAGCUAGUUGGUGGGGUAAAGGCCUCACAAGGCGACGAUCCGUAACUGGUCUGAGAGGAUGAUCAGUCACACUGGAACUGAGACACGGUCCAGACUCCUACGGGAGACAGCAGUGGGGAAUAUUGGACAAUGGGCGAAAGCCUGAUCCAGCCAUGCCGCGUGUGUGAAGAAGGUCUUCGGAUUGUAAAGCACUAUAAGUUGGGAGGCGUUACCAACAGAAUAAGCACCGGCUAACUCCGUGCCAACAGCCGCGGUAAUUC
rnacentral:rRNA from 1 species